UACAGAGGAGCCAAGCGUUGUCCGGAUUUACUGGGCGUAAAGGGUGCGCAGGCGGCUCCGCAUGUCGGGCGUGAAAUCCCCGGGCUUAACCUGGGAAUUGCGUCCGAAACUAUGGAGCUGGAGUGUGGCAGAGGGAGGUGGAAUUCCACGUGUAGCGGUGAAAUGCGUAGAGAUGUGGAGGAACACCGAUGGCGAAGGCAGCCUCCUGGGCCAACACUGACGCUCAUGCACGAAAGCGUGGGGAGCAAACAGG
rnacentral:rRNA from 1 species